rnacentral:rRNA from 1 species
GGUUAAUUUCGGUCCCAGCACCGCCGGUAAUUAGGAAGGCCACGAGCGUUUUCCGGUUUUUAUGGGGGUAAAGCGGCCAGUGGCGGGUUUUUCAAGUUUGUUUGGGAAAAGCCCUGGGCUUCAACUUGGGGGAGGCCAAGGCGAUACUGGAGGGCCUGGGGGGUGACAGAGGGGAGUGGAAUUUCCGGGUUAGCGGUAAAAUGCGCAGACAUCGGGAGGAACACCAGUGGCGAAGGCGGCUCCCUGGGUCACCCCUGACGCUGAGAGGCGAAAGCUAGGGGAGCAAACAGGAUUAGAGACCCUGGUAGUCCUAGCCCUAAACGUUGGAUGCCAGGUGUGGGAUCGAGAGAUUCCGUGCCACAGCUAACGCGAUAAGCAUCCCGCCUGGGGACUACGGCCGCAAGGCUAAAACUCAAACGAAUUGACGGGACCCCGCACAAGCAGCGGAGCGUGUGGUUUAAUUCGAUGCUACACGAAGAACCUUACCUGGGAUGGACAUGGAGGUGGUAGGGAGCCGAAAGGCGACCGACUCGCAAGAGAGCCUUCACAGGUGCUGCAUGGCUGUCGUCAGCUCGUGCCGUGAGGUGUCGGGUUAAGUCCCGUAACGAGCGCAACCCCUGCUCUUAGUUACAAGUGUCUAAGGGGACUGCCGGCGAUAAGCCGGAGGAAGGUGGGGAUGACGUCAAGUCAGCAUGGCCUUUAUAUCCAGGGCUACACACACGCUACAAUGGGCGGUACAACGGGCCGCGAAGCCGUGAGGCGGAGCGAAUCCUGCCAAAGCCGUUCAUAGUUCGGAUUGCAGGCUGCAACCCGCCUGCAUGAAGUUGGAGUUGCUAGUAACCGCGCGUCAGCCAUAGUGCGGUGAAUACGUUCCCGGGGUUUGUACUCACCGCCCGUCA